CCUACGGGAGGCAGCAGUGAGGAAUAUUGGUCAAUGGACGAGAGCCUGAACCAGCCAAGCAGCGUGAAGGAUGAAUGCCCUAUGGGUGGUAAACUUCUUUUAUAUGGGAAUAAAAUGUUCCACGUGUGGGAUUAUGUAUUUACCAUAUGAAUAAAGAACGGCUAACUCAGUGCCAGCAGCGGAGGUAAUACGGAGGAUCCGAGCGUUAUCCGGAUUUAUUGGGUGUAAAGGGAGCGUAGGUGGAUUGUUAAGUCAGUUGUGAAAGUUUCCGGCUCAACCGUAGAAUUGCAGUUGAAACUGGCAAGCUUGAGUACAGUAGAGGUGGGCGGAAGUCGUGGUGUAGCGGUGAAAUGCUUAGAUAUCACGAAGAACACCGAUUGCGAAGGCAGUUCACUGGACUGCAACUGACACUGAGGCUCGAAAGUGUGGGUAUCAAACAGGAUUAGAUACCCUAGUAGUC
rnacentral:rRNA from 1 species